rnacentral:rRNA from 1 species
GAUGAACGCUGGCGGCGUGCCUAAUACAUGCAAGUCGAGCGAACGGACGAGAAGCUUGCUUCUCUGAUGUUAGCGGCGGACGGGUGAGUAACACGUGGAUAACCUACCUAUAAGACUGGGAUAACUUCGGGAAACCGGAGCUAAUACCGGAUAAUAUUUUGAACCGCAUGGUUCAAAAGUGAAAGACGGUCUUGCUGUCACCUAUAGAUGGAUCCGCGCUGCAUUAGCUAGUUGGUAAGGUAACGGCUUACCAAGGCAACGAUGCAUAGCCGACCUGAGAGGGUGAUCGGCCACACUGGAACUGAGACACGGUCCAGACUCCUACGGGAGGCAGCAGUAGGGAAUCUUCCGCAAAGGGCGAAAGCCUGACGGAGCAACGCCGCGUGAGUGAUGAAGGUCUUCGGAUCGUAAAACUCUGUUAUUAGGGAAGAACAUAUGUGUAAGUAACUGUGCACAUCUUGACGGUACCUAAUCAGAAAGCCACGGCUAACUACGUG